UCCGGAUUAGCUCAGUUGGUAGAGCGAUCGGCUGUUAACCGAUUUGUCGCUGGUUCGAGUCCAGCAUCCGGAG
rnacentral:tRNA from 1 species